rnacentral:rRNA from 1 species
GACGAACGCUGGCGGCGUGCUUAACACAUGCAAGUCGAACGGAAAGGCCCUGCUUUUGUGGGGUGCUCGAGUGGCGAACGGGUGAGUAACACGUGAGUAACCUGCCCUUGACUUUGGGAUAACUUCAGGAAACUGGGGCUAAUACCGGAUAGGAGCUCCUGCUGCAUGGUGGGGGUUGGAAAGUUUCGGCGGGUGGGGAUGGACUGGCGGCUUAUCAGCUUGUUGGUGGGGUAGUGGCUGACCAAGGCUUUGAAGGGUCGCCGGCCUGGGAGGGUGACCGGGGACAUUGGGACUAAGAGACGGACCAGACGCGUAUGGGGGACAGCAGGGGGGAGUCUUGUCCAAUGGUAGGAAGCCUGAUGCAGAAACGCCGCGUGCGGGAUGACGGCCUUCGGGUUGUAAACCGCUUUCGCCUGUGACGAAGCGUGAGUGACGGUAAUGGAUAAAGAAGCACCGGCUAACUACGUG